rnacentral:rRNA from 1 species
UGGGGAAUAUUGUGCAAUGGGCGAAAGCCUGACACAGCAACGCCGCGUGAAGGAUGAAGGUCUUUGGAUUGUAAACUUCUGUUAAAUGGAAAGAAAGAGGUGUAGUUAAUAGCUACGCAAGAUGACGGUACCAUUAAAGAAAGUCCCGGCUAAUCUCGUGCCAGCAGCCGCGGUAAUACGAGAGGGACAAGCAUUAUUCGGAGUUACUGGGCGUAAAGGGUGCGUAGGUGGCUUAUUAAGUCACUCGUUAAAGCUCACGGCCCAACCGUGAAAUCGCGAGUGAUACUGAUAGGCUAGAGGGCAGGAGAGAGGAGUGGAAUCCUCGGAGUAGCGGUUAAAUGCGUGGAUCUCGAGAGGAACACCGAUGGCGAAGGCAGCUCCUUGGUCUGUUUCUGACACU